UCAUUAAUACUUUUAAUGAAGGGAGAAUUCUAGUCCUGUCAAACCCGUUCGGCUAACGACCCUCCACCAGUCAAGCAAGCGGUGGGUGAGAGUGGACACCCAUUAAGUUGCCAUUUUAUAGGCAACAACCUUAUACCCACCUUAUAGACCGGCUUCGUGAAUGAGGCGUACUAGCGGUAAGACUGACUUUACUCUUAUACAUAUAUAUAUUAUUAACUUAUAAUAUUAUAAAGUAUAAGGGUUGAAUUUUAACUUUUAAAAUUCUAAGGGCUAACUUGGAAUUAAAGUAUUCAUAAGUGAAAACUUUACAAAUUCCAAAACUUGAGGGCAAGUUUUGAAACUAUUCAAAACUAAUUAAUUCCAUAACUUAUGUGUUUAAAGUAGUUUUAAUCCAAAAACUCUUCAAGUUCCAUAACUUGAGGACAAGUUAUGGAAGACUUUAAACUAAUAAAAGAAUUAACUUUUCUUUAUUUUAUAACUUAUGGAAUUAAUUAAGGUUACACUUUUUUUUUUUUUAUUUUAUUUUAUUAAAUGAAGAGACUCUUGGUCCUCCAUAACUUGAGGACAAGUUAUGGAGUCAUAAAACCAUUUAAUUAGAACUAGACUCUUCAUUUUUGUAACCUUUGCCAAUUUUUAUGAGUUUUAUGAUUCUUAAAUGUGACUUUUCAUAUAACUUGAGGACAAGUUACAAAAACACAUUUUAGAAUCAAUUCUUAGAUUAAUUUGGAUUAAAACCAACUAUCACAUAAUUUUAUUCAUUAAUCUAAAUUCACUCAUAAAACAAGGUAACACAAAAAACUUUUGGUGAUCCAUAACUUAUUCUUAAGUUAUGGAAUCCUUUAAAACAUUAACACCAAAUUUUGUAACUCCAAAAAAACUUUGAAUCAAUUUUUUUUUUAAAACCUUUUCAUAUCCAUAACUUAUGGAGGUUUCAAAAAAUAAAACUCUUUAGAUCAAACUUUUAAAACUAAUAAAAUAAUCAUAUUAUUUUAUCUUUUAUUAAAUUUGACCUAAUUCAACUCAUAAAGCAAAUUAUUCAAAUUUUACAAAUAAUUAGUUUUUCACAAGAACAAGUAAUUAUCUUAAAAUUUGACAAACUUCAUGUUUUUUUUUUUUUUUUUUUUCAACUUUGAAAAUAAAAUAUUUGCAUCAAUAUAACAGAAAACAACCCGUGGCUCUGAUACCACUGUUGGGUUUUGAGCAUUCUAACACUUCCUAAGUGUACAUGCAACCCUAAAUACCUUGGAUCUAUGUUUUCUCUAUUAUACAUGCAAAUAAGAACUUCCAAGGUAUUAUCCUAAUCUAGCAUACAAAACAAUAACUAUAGCAAGAUAGAAUACAUACCUCUUUGGUGUAGAAAGUCUUCAUGAAGCUUGAGUGCCUAGUGCCCCAAGUGUGACACCUCAAAUGGAAUCACAAUCAUCAAAACACUUAGAAUGACUUGAGAGAAUUCUACACUCAUCAAAAUCGGCUAGCCCUUUCUUCACUAUCUCUAGUGGCCGAUUUUUCCUCAAUAAUAAGAUGCUUAUAUAGUUACACAAUUAGGGUAAACUCUUAAUUGUCAUGGCUUUCCAUUUCCUUGGAUCCAUGGGUACAAAUACACCAUGGAGCAUCCAUGGACCAUCCUAUGGGUUUUAGCCCAACUUGAUUAUCCAUGGAGCAUUAGCCCACUAUACAAGUAUGGAUGAUUUACACAAUCAACCCAUAUAUUUAAUUAGUCUUCUUUUGAUCACUUAAUUAAUCCUAGAUUAAUUCUUGAUCAAUACUAAUUAAAUAAUCUUAUUAUUCUUAUUAUUAAUAUACUAGAACUUAUAAUAUAUUAAUAACCAUAAGUGUCUUAUUUCUCUCAUUAUAGUCUAUCCAAGUGCAUGAUGGUAUGCAACCCAAAUGGACCAUGCCGGGUCGGGUCAAGUCUUACCAAUUAUAGUUAUGGACUUAGACAUUAAUCCAACAGUCUCCCACUUGGAUAAGUCUAAAACUAUUAUUGCGUAUGACUUCAGGAACCAACUGGCAAUCGUAGCUCUCAAAAGCUUCUGUCGAACUCUGACCUUGUAGAUGAACUCUGACCUUUGUCAAUGACUUGUCCAUUAGAUAAGGGAUCAUAUAUUCCUCCAUUCUAGAUAUCAUAUGGACUGAGACAUGGAUUAUAAUCAUUCUCUCUGUCCAUUUGUUGUUUCCCGAUUUCCGAUUUAUGACGACUGACUAAUUGAACAAAUCAAAUCAGUCCUGGCCCGGCCGAGCACUUCCAUUUGUCAUCAUCAAAUCAUCGAGGGGCCCACAGAUAUCGCUUUUAUCCCGAAGGUAAAAGGAACGGAUAAACUUCGACUCAUAUGGCUUGUUCUACUACUUGUUGAAUCAUACACAAAGGCACGUUUUAUAGCACCGAGUUACCAAAUGCGUUUUCGUGCAAUCAAUGUACUAUCAACUCAUAGUAACAACUCAUAUCUCUAGGUUUGAAGAAUAUAAGAUAUUAUCGUCUCAUGAUCACUCGUGAUAAAAUCCAUGAAGUGAUUCCAAUGAGCGCGGGUUGAAUCCAAUACUCAGAACUUAUGAGCACUCAUGAGUGUUGUAGCCCUUUGUCCAACACCUUAGACCUCUACAAGCCAACCCAUGACAGUCUUAAUUCAUAUCUACUUCCAACAUAUGACCGACUGUGGAUGGUUUGAAUAACUUAGUCAUUCCGGAAGAAUAACCUAGUUUAUUCGGGAAGUCAAAACAUGCAAAGUGAAACACAAUAAUAAUUGAAUCCAAUAUGGUAUCAACCCUUUGAACAUAAAUAAAACACCUUUUAUUUAUCACCAUAUGAUUACACAUUAUUCAUUGUAUACUGUUUCAGCUAUCAACUUUAUUCUUGAAUUUAAAACAAUAGUUGUCCCAUGCUCCAAGCAUGUACACUAUGUUUUCUUAAACACUAGUCAUGCCACACACCAAGUAUGCAUACUAUGUUUGUCUAUGAUCUUUACUUUGUGAACUAGAUCAAUUGAACAUAACUUCAAUGAUUCUCUUUUCACACUCCCAAAUCCUUACUGCAAAUGCAAGAAUUCCAAAUUCAUGCCAUUUACUGAAAUCUGUUAGAUUCUAAACUUAUAUGCAUUGAUCCUCUUGUAAUGAUUAUGCACAAAGUCAGAAAGACUUGACAACAAUCAUUACAGAGUAUUCCAAAGGAGAUCAGCUCCUUGGAAACAUCCUUCUUGCAUUAAGUUUCCUAAUCUUAAACAGAUUGAAAAUUCUAACUUUGAAACAUUUCCAGAUUCCAUUUUGACUAUCACUUCUGAACAAGAGUUGCCUCCUUACAGAUUAUGUCAAUAUGGUCCUUCCAGAAUUAUCACUAUACUUCCAACUGUCCUUGAGCAACCAAUCUUUGGUAAACCUUAGAUUGUCCUCGACAAUUGUUUAAUCCUUUUAGUCAUAUCCAGUUCUAAACCUUUUCCCUUCUUAAUGCCCCAGGCAUUUGGAAAAUUUUAGAACGGAUGAAUAUAGCACAUGUAAUCGAUCCUAUAUCCGAAGCAUAUGGGACACGAUUCAUGAUGUCUUACAUAAAGACUAAACCAGUCUUUUGCUAUAAUAUUUCCAUUUCAAUUUGCCAAGUUCUCAUAAUUCAGAUUAUGAAAAGGGAUGCCGUAAUCAUAAUCGAAUUUUAGAACGCAAAUAAUGGACCCAUAUACAGAAUUUCCUUAUGUUGAGCCAUUCCAACAUGAAAUUCAUAUAUAUCCUUGACUAAAUGAUUAAAACCUCACGAUCUAAGCUUAUAGAUUUGAGAUGAAGUAUAAUUUCCUCUCCCUUAAUUAUAGCAAAACAACUUUUUCCCAAUUGAAACUUUUGUUUUCUAUAAUUAACAUUGCUAACUUGCAAUACUUAUCAUAAUUAUCAUGCUCCCACUAACAUGAUGAUUAUUAGCAUAACACUUAUGCUCCCACUAGCUUUGACAUGUACUCAGAAAUCAGCUGGACUUCUAGAAAUCAAUACUUCAUUGACUUUCUUACCAAAGUUCAGAUUUCUGAUGCUAGAUUGUUUUGAUAAAACUUUAUCAAAAUCAUACACCUUCCCUUAGAUAGCACACUUGUGUAUCUAAACAAUUAUGAAGAGGGAUGCCGUAAUCAUAAUGUUUAGACCUUUUUGCCACUUCUCACAAGUCCAAGUUAGUGUGCCGGUUAACCACACGCGCUCCACUAACGACUUUGAGAAUGCAAAUAUCACAAUUGCUAUCUAGCUAAAAUCUACUUAGUGAAAGUGUUUCCUCACCAUCAUUUUCAUGAAUCGGAGAGAAACCUUAUGACACUUAGAUUUAAUGGUGUAUGUGUUCUUAUCCAUGUGAAUUGUCAAAACCAUAGUCACAAGACAAGGAUAAUGACAAAUCCAAACUCAUAUGGACUGAACUCAAUCUUAAUUUCUUGCCACCUGGCAGCUCAAGGGCCUACCAUUGCUUCCAAGUUGUUGUGCAACAAAUUGAGAACUCUAAGAACUCAUAUGCAAAGCCAACUUUAACUGGAAUGGGCACAGAAUAUGUCAACACGAUAGGUUAUGAACCUCAAGUCGUGUGCUAGUGAAGAACUUCAGGUUUUAUUCUUGAUUAGUUCUUGAGACUUUCAAGACCUUUAAGACUCCCACUGUCCUCUUGACAUAUAAGACUCCCUUGUCAAACAUCCAAGAGAUAGUGCGGAUUCUAAUCAGGACAAACAUUUCUCAUAAUUGGCCUUAGUUGGUCUUUGUUUUAUCCAAAACAUCACAACUUACCAAUUUCAAAUCUACAAGAGUAGGAAACUUUUACUCAUACAUUUGACAAUGUUUUAAACCUUCUUUAAGACAUAUCACUCAAAUUACAAUAUUGGAGUAUGACUCUAAGACUUGUAUUGGAACGAAGUAUGACUCAUCUUCUUAAUUUAACUAUUUCAACGAUUCAAGAUUCCUCGUCUUAGUCAUAAGAAUGCACUAAGAUUUCCUUAGAGAACUAAUUGUGCUAUGGUUUCUUAAUCAUUAAGAUGAUCACAAAACUGAUACUAAAGUACUCUCCCAUCUUUUCAGAUUUGAGAAACUUUUAUCCUUCUGCCUAAUUUGAUUCUUCUUAUUCGCUCUGCCAUACAUUGGAACCUUUUCCAAUGUCUCAGAGUUACACUUAAGCUUGUAAGUAUAAUCAUAUUUACUGAGCUUUAGUAAACCAUGACGAAUAGUCUUAUCGAUCUUUUGUGGUGGACUUGACCAGUGCACAAGAAUGUGUACUCGAUCCCUUAGUCCUUCACUUGACUCACACAUCCAUGUGAACAAGUAGUUAGUCUUAAUUUUUUUCAAUGCUUGAAAGUUCUCAUUCAUCAUGCUAUACAACUUGCAUGAUUCCAAGUUUCUAUCCAACUGAAACUUGGGUGAUGAGAAUCUUUCCUUAUUUGGUAAAUUUAGACACUACCACAAAUGAAAUAAUCAAAUUCACUUUCCAAUAUUGCUAUCAGUGGAAUCUUAUAAGCAACAACUUUUCACAAAUGCCAUUGUAAGGAUACUUAAAAUAAAUAAAAUCAAAACAUUUUUCUUUUAUUUUAAAACUUUGUGAAAAACUUAUCCUUACAAUCCAUAUGAAAACCUUGUUGUUAUCUAUUCCUAAGCAAUAUAAACAUCAUAACUCUUAAGUAAUAGCCCAAAAUUCUGGUCACCAAACCAUGCGAUUGAAAUCCAACUUCGCGAUCAGAAUCAGCAUCCACUUAAUAGAGUUAGAUAAUGGACUUCACCUGAAGUAGAGCCAAACUUAUUGACUUUAACAUCCUUAGGUAAAUUUGGCAGCUUCGCAACCAAUUCCCCUUCCUUUGGCAAUAGUUACCUAUGGACCCUUGAUAAUGGGACUAUCUCAGACUUAGCCUCUCUCUUUACCAUUUGGUCAACCGAGUUGACUAUGGCCGAUCCCAUUCCAUUGGAAAGAGAGAGCUUUACUGGAUAUUGAAUGUCUUUAUUGUCAUUGUCCAUAAGUUUUAGCAAGUUGAUCUUAGCAAAUAGAUAAGAUCAUUAAGGGUCUUGUCAUAGUCUGUUUCAUAGGAGUCCUAAAGGAACUCACUAUGUGACGUAGAAAGUAGUUGGGGCACCAACUUUUCUCAACACUUUCACACCCAACUCUCCCGGCUUGUCAAUAUAUGACUACACUUCCAAGAUGUGAUCACACAUAGACCUUUGCUUGCCAAUAGGGCUUGAGUGACCUUAAACUUUUCAAAAACUUGUGGGUUAGGGGGAAUAAUUGGAGUAGGUGAAGGAAGUAUGAUUUCCAUGAGACAUCAUCUUCAUUUAGGAAAGCUUGUUUCAAGAGAUUUAGGAAAAUCGUAAAUGUCUAAACCAGACAUCUUUUUGGGAGAUAUUCAAGAUAGUUGAUUUAAAGUCCUUAAUAUGACACCCAAUAUGAAAUAUUAAGGCCAGGACCCAACAAACUAUUUUAUAACUUAGAAGAGGGAUGUCGUAGUCGAAGCUAUAAAAUAUUCGAAGGUAGGUGAACGACUAUUCACCAAUUUCCACCAAUAUAAAUGAAAUGUAUUAUUAGGUUUUAAUUGUAUUUUGAAACUCCUAGAUCUUUGAGAUUCAUUGAACUUUUCAAUGGCAUGUUUCAAUCUCGAGUGUGCCCUUCAGGUUUUGUGACUAGGAUGCCGAGGGUCACAAAACAAGGUGUGAAGUAACCAUGCAAAUUACUUGGUACCCUUAAGUGUUUACCCCUCAAUCGAUGUGUCGGUUAACCACACACGCUCCAUCGAUACUAUGAUAAACAUUAAGUUACCCUUUGCCUACCUUGUUAAAUACGAGUUAGUGUGCCGGUUAACCACACACGCUCCACUAACCGACUUAAACAAAGUGCAAAGUGUAAUUUCAUGGAUUAGCACCUUAUUCACAUUUUCCUAAGUAACUAAGAUUGGGUAUAUAUAUAUAUAUAAGAGUUUAGUUACUUAGUAUUUAUCAUUAAUACUUUUACUGAAGGGAGAAUUCUAGUCCUUGUCCUACCCGUUCGGCUAACGACCCUCCACCGGUCAAGGAAGCGGUGGGUGAGAGUGGACACCCAUUAAACUGCCAUUUUAUAGGCAUUAACCUUAUACCCCCCUUAUAGACCGACUUCGUGAAUGAGGCGUACUAGCGGUAAGACUGACUUUACUCUUAUACAUAUAUAUAUUAUUAACUUAUAAUAUUAUAAAGUAUAAGGGUUGAAUUUUAACUNNN
rnacentral:lncRNA from 1 species